rnacentral:rRNA from 1 species
GACGAACGCUGGCGGCGUGCUUAACACAUGCAAGUAGAACGGAAAGGCCCUGCUUUUGUGGGGUGCUCGAGUGGCGAACGGGUGAGUAACACGUGAGUAACCUGCCCUUGACUUUGGGAUAACUUCAGGAAACUGGGGCUAAUACCGGAUAGGAGCUCCUGCUGCAUGGUGGGGGUUGGAAAGUUUCGGCGGUUGGGGAUGGACUCGCGGCUUAUCAGCUUGUUGGUGGGGGAGUGGCUUACCAAGGCUUUGACGGGUAGCCGGCCUGAGAGGGUGACCGGCCACAUUGGGACUGAGAUACGGCCCAGACUCCUACGGGAGGCAGCAGUGGGGAAUAUUGCACAAUGGGCGGAAGCCUGAUGCAGCAACGCCGCGUGCGGGAUGACGGCCUUCGGGUUGUAAACCGCUUUCGCCUGUGACGAAGCGUGAGUGACGGUAAUGGGUAAAGAAGCACCGGCUAACUACGUG